rnacentral:rRNA from 1 species
UACGGAGGGUGCUAGCGUUGUUCGGAAUUACUGGGCGUAAAGGGCGCGUAGGCGGCCGUUUGCGUCGGAUGUGAAAGCCCGGGGCUCAACCUCGGAACGGCAUUCGAUACGGGACGGCUGGAGACCGGGAGAGGAGAGUGGAAUAGCCAGUGUAGAGGUGAAAUUCGUAGAUAUUCGGAAGAACACCAGUGGCGAAGGCGACUUACUGGACGAUUGUUGACGCUGAGGUGCGAAAGCGUGGGGAGCAAACAGG